UUUGGGCGAUUUUGACACAUCUUGGCAACACGUCUUUCGUGCAGAGUGUUCGGAAGAUUGCUGCUUUUUGCUUCUCUUCAGUAAAAUUUGUGUAAUUUGCUGUGGAAAUUCACUAAAACUUGGUUUCGUUGAGGAAUAGGAUGUAAACAAUCACCAAAUUUCAACUGCAGAGGAUAGAACAUCGGUAGGAAAAAAGGAGCUAAACACGAGCUGGAAAUUUCGGUAGCAUCAACAAUGGAAAUAUACCACCGUUCGAGGAAUAGUACAGGCGAGCUUUAUCCGAGAAAACUACACUGCGCGCUCGUACAGUAUCGGACAGAAAGAUAGGGCAUUGGUUUUUUAACGCACCGUGCACCCGUUGGGCCAAGUUUAUGUGUGGUUUGUAUGUGUUUGUGUUUGUGUGUGUGUGUAUGUGUGUGUAUGUGUGUUUGUGUGUGUGUGUGUAUGUGUGUGUGCAUGUGUGUGUGUGUGUGGAUGUAUGUUUGAAUGUGUAUUGAUGUGUGUGUUUGUUUCACAAGUAGGUCGUUUCGGAUAGAUUUGUAAGUAGUUUUUUUGUGUUUUGGGUUAGGUUUUCGGUGUGAUAAGCAGGACCACCGCCCUCGCGAUCAGUGUGUUUUCGAUAUAUUAACAAUGUUACGGUCUUCUUUCGCCGUGGUCUUCUGAGGACGUCCGGUUGACUUGCGCGUUUCGGUGGUCCAAGCGCGUUUCAGUUGUCUAAGCACGUUUCGGUUGUCCGAAGCGCGUUUGCCACAAAAGUGCGCGAUCGUUCCAUUACGAACUCGAUCCUUUUGCGCUUAAUGCCAGCAGCAGCCAUUCGCUUUUACAUAUGGCGCUGAUGAUCGGUACAACGUUUACCUCGACCCAUUGUUACUAACAUUGCUUGCUUGGACCGUCAAGAACGCGCUGGUUAAAAACUUGGACACGGCUGAUCCCGUGCUCUGCCUGCGUUCUACUUCUAUACGCGAUGAAUUACAUCGUUAUGGAGCAGUGAAAACAUCGCAUGGAUAAAAACUAUCAACGAGUACGCGAGUAAGCGUCUUCCCUUCAAAAUCGAGAAAAGAAUACUGCCGCGCUCAUGAAACAAAACGCCCAUUGAAAAGAAUAACUGCGCGCCAGCUCAAUGCACGCACAAAGUUUACCAUUCGCACACAACGUGCAACGCAGAGAUGCACGAAGGCCUUUCAAUGGCGUGCACUGGAGAAACACCUGUGAGAGAAUGCCGAGUUCAUUGCUAUUGUGCGUGUGUCCAUUUCGCACCGGUGUCGCAUUCACAUUCAUGAAACAGCACACCUGCGUUUUCGUCCGAGGAACAAGCGCUGCUGUCGAUGCAAACUUUAGUUUUUAUCCAAGUGUAAACGCACAAUGUUUCACAUGAUAACACACAUAAUAAGAAUAAUUUCAACGCAAUAUGACAUCAUGGCAAGCUAUGUUUUUCAGACACAAACCCGCGCACUUGCUAACACAUUAAAAAGCACACUCUCUUUCUACUACUACACACACACACACAUGCACACACACACACACACAUACACACACACACACACACACACACACACACUCACACACAUACACACACACACACAUACACACAUACACACACACAAACACAAGUAACGUGGCAAAACAAGUGCACGGUGCAUUGAAAAAAAAGGGUCCUAUCUUAAUGUCCGAUACUGUAUGCUACAGCGCAAUCCUCGGCAAAAUUGGGAAAGGUGCAGAUGAGGGCUGAGACAACAGAUACUUUCGUUAUGGAUAUGAAACGCUGUGAGCAAAGAACUGUGGAAGAACGUUGCGGUUUUACUCGUACAACUGCGAUGAGAAAUCUUCCAACCAUACGGUCGGAAGAUGAUUGAAUGGUAAAAGCGCUACUUCAAAGGAAAAAUGAACGAUGUAGCGACAAAAGCUGAUGCCGCAAGUGGAAGGUCAGCGCAGAGGUAGCAGUAGCUGCACCAUUGCAGAAUGCGAAUACUGGCACGCAAUACAAUGUCUCUAUAUUACUUAGCAAAAGAGGAUACUCCUGAUACUCUUCUCCUCCUGGUACUCCUGAACUUACGAUUGGAAGCUCGGGACAUGGAACUGCAAAACCCUCUCAUCGGAUGUGAAGACUAGAAUUGCGUUCGAUUAGGUCUGGGCACGCGAUUUCGAAAUAGUAACACUUCAGGAGGUAUGCUGGAAAGGCGUGACGGUGCGCCAGUACCGUAGCAACUGCACGAUCUACCAGACGCGCGAGCUCCGUAUUGCGUUCAUGGUGCUGGAUGCGAUGCAACAAAGAGUGAUCGGGUGGUGCCGUUUCAACGAACGGACGUGCACCGAUGACGAGAAUGAGGCCUUCUAUACGCAGCUGGAGAAGGGAAUACGACCGCUGCCCAAAACAUGACGUGAAGUCGUCGUCAUCGGAGACUUUAAUGCUCAGGUCGGACUGGAGGAGACAUAUAAACCAACGAUUGGAAGCUUCAGCGUCCAUCAGCUGACAAACGACAACCUCAGGCUGAUAAACUUGGCUGCCUCCAAGCACAUGAGCAUCUGCAUCACCUUCUUCUAGCAUGCACACUGCCUUAGUUACACCUGGAGACACCCGAGGGAUGAUUCAAAAUCCCAAAUCGACCACGUUUGCAGAUCACUGGCGUAUGGUGGAACGAGCCAUCAGCACUGCAGCCGAACACAAGGUAUCGGAUUCUCCUGUCUGCUCUUUAACAGACCCUGGAAGGUGUCAUUCGAGUCGCGGGGCUAGUCAACGACAUCCCUGGCACGAUCCUCUAACGACCUCUCCAAUUUCUUGUCUUCGCGGAUGACAUCGACAUCAUCGGCAGGACAACAGCGAAGAUGUGUGAGGCGUACACUCAAGAGCGAAGCAGCAAUAAUAGGAUUGAUAAUCAAUAGCAAUACCCAUCAAACCAUAGAUCGGAAUGAGCUAUGGAACACCAUGCAGCAGUACGGAUUCUCUUGGAAGGACUAUCUUUGGCGGUGUGUGCGAGCAGGGUUGUGUGGAGAAGGAGGAGGAACCACGAGCUAGCUGAGCUGUUUGGCGGUGCAGAUAUCCUGACGAGCAUCAAAACCGGAAGGAUACGAUGGCUGGGGCACGUGAUGAGGAUGCCGGAUUCAUGCCCCACCAGGAGGGUGCUCGUCAGCGACCCGUUCGGCACGAGGCGUAGAGGAGCACAGCGAGCUCAUUGGCUGGAUCAGGUGGAGUCGAACCUGUCGGAGAUCGGAUGCAGGCGUGGUUGGAGGACUGCAUCCCAGGACCGAGUUUCCUGGAAAUGGAUUGGCGACCUGGCCAUGUCUACUAGACGUGCUCGUACAUGAGCAGGCCAAGAAGAAGAAGAAGACAUACUUACAGGCUUGAACUGCAAAGUUAACUUUUCGUGGAGAUGUCUCAAUUGCAAGAAUAGAAUAUGCCUGUUAUUGUAUUUAGAUUUCGAUUCGAGUCAAGAAACUGAACACCAAAGUGAUGUUCACUUCACUUCCGUACGAAUCAACUUUUAAACUCUACGUCUACGUCGAAAUGGCGCGAUUGCAAGAAUAGAUUAUGGCUGAAUGUAUAAAAUAUUGUGUUUCUUCUUGAAUGUAAACACGAAAAUUAGAUAACUAAUCAACAUUCUUUUAGUAGUUCUUUACGAUUCGCCAAUCGCUCUUCUUCUUUGCAAGUCAUUUUUUCUAAUAUGUUUGUUUUUGUUUUAGUAGAAACAAAAAAUUGCGAAGAAAUAUAAACUAACGAAAAGAUUUUUACAAGAAUAAUCAAGCAUGGUGUUAUGAUGACGUAGCUGAAUUCAUUCACAUGAAACCCGGCUUUUCACUAACGAGUACUUCCUCCCAACCAUACCUUAUUGCACGGCCGCUCAGUUAUUAUCCGACCAGAUUUCUGAAGCAUGUGUAUCCUAAUGUAAUAUUUGUAAGACCUGCUCGGUCGAGAUGUGCGCGUACAAAAGCAAACGUCGUUAAUGCGCCCUGGUCCAAGUCCAGAGUCGCCGCCUGCACCUCGGUGUGAUGCACGGUAAAGGGUUGGCACAGCCCUCAUUGAAACUGUUUGCGGUUGUACGAAAGUAUUCAUCACCUUUACCUAACGCUGCUUUACUUUUUGCGUGUCCAAUCCUUUCCAUCCCUUUCCCUUCCCAUCGACCCGUCUUCCGUCUUCCACAGACCACCGGCCCCGGCAUGCUAACGACAAUGACGGUCGACGUGUCGUAAUUGAAAUUCAAAAUGCGAUUCAUAAUUAAAAUAUGCGCCCCGGCUCUCGCCGGCACGGUUGCGUGGAAAUCUUGCCCCACUGCUCUUAGAAGGGUGGGGUUCAGAUUUCACCAUCAUCAAUGGAGGAGCACGGUGGUACAGCACGCUGUGCACAAUGGAGCCGUGCACAAAUUGUCGCCGGAAAGGAAGCUAGCCAACAUCAGCAGCAGAGGAAGCGCCAACGGAUGGAGUGAGCUUUUCUUUUUGGUUUUAUCCCUUCACACACAAAAGAGAGAAGAGGAAAAUCGAGCCACGGAAAUCAAGCGGAUUGAAAGGAACAAACCGCCAGGAGCGGGAGAGAGAGAGAGAGCGAAAAGCAGAAAUCCUUGGCACAAAGAUAAACAAAGAAACAAGAUCAUGCCGUCCGUCCGUGCCGGUGUUUCGGUCGUUGGUUUAGUUCUCCCUAUUCCCUUCCCCCCUUUCCCUACAACCCAAGGAGUUAAUUCAUCUUCGUUGCUCGUUCAUUUUGCGAGCUUUUCACCAGUUCGCUUCCUGUCACCUUCUCCCCUUCCUCCCUUCAUAUAUCCCGUUUCCCUGAGGGAUUCGCCAAAGGCUCGUUUGGUGUGUUUGUACUCUCCAAAGCAAAGCGUGCGUCUCGGCCGGCACAGCUUAUCUUUUAUUCAUCUCCGUUGCACCUUUUCUCGGUCGAGUGACGCUGUUGGGAUCAGACGCUCAUGCACCCCGCUCUCCCCUACAAAUACAGGCAAGCAUACACACACACACAUACGCAAGCACAUGUGAUGUUCUUUUCCAGAUGCGCAUCCUUUACUUUGCAAUAUACAAAGAAGCGUUUGGCUUUCAAUAUUUGCCCUAUACACGUACACUAUACUGAGCCAGGAAGCCACUUCACUUGAUUUGCUUACCAGCAGGUUCUGUGUGUGUGUGUGUGUGUGUUUCUGUGUUCUUUUACCUUGCAUCUCUCCAUUUUGCCAGCAGACAUAAUUUUCUUUCUUUAAGCACCUUGCUUCAUUCGCUAAGCUUUUCCAACAGUAUAAUCUCGUUCACUCGACCAUCCCUUUCUCCCAGUUUUUUUCACUUUCUUUUAAUAUAUCCUUGAAGGAUGGCAACAAAAAAUAUAUCUCUGAUAUAUACCAACAUUAUUCACGCUCAAGUGCCGCAUGUCGCAAAAGCAAAAAUUCGUUUAAAGACGCUUGCUCUCCAGCAUAAGUCACACCUUGCAAGCGUUGAUGUAGUUGCUCUACUGCUGGACAAUUAUUCAAAGAGAUCGUUGUAUUUUUUUCUUCUUCUUGUGUCGUCCUCUUUUCUCUUUAAUGUCGUCGACCUCUUUGGGGGGAGCUGCUCUUUAGGGAGAUGACUGUGUCUGGGCUGCCCAAAUUGAGACGGGGAAGAAAAAUGGAUUUCGCGUCCAAACGACCCCCGGGAAGCAACCAUCGUUAUCCUGUGUGGAAAGCGAGUGGAUCGGUCUUUCACUGCAGGCUGCAGGCUUAUUGUUGAUACGGCAUUAUAUAUAGGAGUUUGCUUGACUUAUUCAUGCCACGUAACCGAACAGUCAGUCGUUGCUAUGAAGUACUAUGAUGCACCGGAUGGGAAUUGAACCCGAUCUUGUACGAGCGGAUGCCUUCAGAAGGGACAACAGCGAAGAUGUGUGAGGCGUACACUCAAGAGCGAAGCAGCAAUAAUAGGAUUGAUAAUCAAUAGCAAUACCCAUCAAACCAUAGAUCGGAAUGAGCUAUGGAACACCAUGCAGCAGUACGGAUUCUCUUGGAAGGACUAUCUUUGGCGGUGUGUGCGAGCAGGGUUGUGUGGAGAAGGAGGAGGAACCACGAGCUAGCUGAGCUGUUUGGCGGUGCAGAUAUCCUGACGAGCAUCAAAACCGGAAGGAUACGAUGGCUGGGGCACGUGAUGAGGAUGCCGGAUUCAUGCCCCACCAGGAGGGUGCUCGUCAGCGACCCGUUCGGCACGAGGCGUAGAGGAGCACAGCGAGCUCAUUGGCUGGAUCAGGUGGAGUCGAACCUGUCGGAGAUCGGAUGCAGGCGUGGUUGGAGGACUGCAUCCCAGGACCGAGUUUCCUGGAAAUGGAUUGGCGACCUGGCCAUGUCUACUAGACGUGCUCGUACAUGAGCAGGCCAAGAAGAAGAAGAAGACAUACUUACAGGCUUGAACUGCAAAGUUAACUUUUCGUGGAGAUGUCUCAAUUGCAAGAAUAGAAUAUGCCUGUUAUUGUAUUUAGAUUUCGAUUCGAGUCAAGAAACUGAACACCAAAGUGAUGUUCACUUCACUUCCGUACGAAUCAACUUUUAAACUCUACGUCUACGUCGAAAUGGCGCGAUUGCAAGAAUAGAUUAUGGCUGAAUGUAUAAAAUAUUGUGUUUCUUCUUGAAUGUAAACACGAAAAUUAGAUAACUAAUCAACAUUCUUUUAGUAGUUCUUUACGAUUCGCCAAUCGCUCUUCUUCUUUGCAAGUCAUUUUUUCUAAUAUGUUUGUUUUUGUUUUAGUAGAAACAAAAAAUUGCGAAGAAAUAUAAACUAACGAAAAGAUUUUUACAAGAAUAAUCAA